GGAAGUAGUAGUAAUGAUAAUGGAAGUAGUAAUGAUAGGAAGCUGGAAAAAGAUUCUUCUAAUUUAGCUACUGUAACUGAAGAGACGGCGGGAGAAAGGAACAGCGGUGGUGAGGCGAGUGAUUCGGAGGAUUCUUCGGUGUCAAUUUCAUCCAGGCCAACAAUAUCCACUGUUGGAUCAACUUAUAACAAUUUUCAAGUAGAUUCUUUUAAGUUGAUGGAACUUCUUGGACCCGAAAAGGUUGAUCCCAGUGAGGUGAAGAUCAUUAAGGAGAAGUUAUUUGGCUACUCUACUUUUUGGGUGACUAAAGAAGAACCUUUUGGAGAUUUUGGAGAGGGCAUUCUUUUCCUUGGGAAUCUUAGAGGAAAGAGGGAGGAUGUUUUCGCCAAACUUCAGAGUCAGUUAUCAGAAGUUAUGGGUGAUAAGUACAACUUAUUCAUGGUGGAGGAACCUAAUUCAGAGGGGCCAGACCCUCGUGGUGGGCCCAGAGUCAGCUUUG
rnacentral:misc_RNA from 1 species